CUCGUAGGCGGCCAACUAAGUCAGACGUGAAAUCCCUCGGCUCAACCGGGGAACUGCGUCUGAUACUGGAUGGCUUGAAUCCGGGAGAGGGAUGCGGAAUUCCAGGUGUAGCGGUGAAAUGCGUAGAUAUCUGGAGGAACACCGGUGGCAAAGGCGGCAUCCUGGACCGGUUUUGACGCUGAGGAGCGAAAGCCAGGGGAGCAAACGGGAUUAGAUACCCCGGUAGUCCUGGCCCUAAACGAUGAAUGCUUGGUGUGGCGGGUAUCGAUCCCUGCCGUGCCGAAGCUAACGCAUUAAGCAUUCCGCCUGGGGAGUACGGUCGCAAGGCUGAA
rnacentral:rRNA from 1 species